rnacentral:lncRNA from 1 species
AUUGUGGUUUUGAAACCAAUGUUUGACUUUGACACGAACUUUUGAUUUUAACAAUGUUUUUUUCACUUUGCUUUUAUACCUCAAUUUUAAGCGAUGGUUUACACAUUUUUUUGGACGUCAUAAAAAAGUAACUAUGCAUUUGACUAGAAAUGGCUAACUCCACGAUCAUAAAAAAUAAACUCAGAGUAAUUAACAUCUAAUUAAUAUUUUAGUAAUACACAUCUCAAAAAGAUCCGUACAUGUGAAAAUGAUAGCUGGUAUCGGCUAGUUGCAGUAUUGCACAGAGUAAUUACUAAUAUGAGCCCCCACGCAACUCGGUUUCCGACACGUUAACAUUAAUUACACACAAACACACACUUCCCUGUUUAAUCCUCUCC